GGCCUUUUGUCCCCAGGCCGCACACGCGCCGGACCGGGGACCUCUGUGCCCCGCCUGGCCGCGGCCUAGUCCCGGCAGACCGGACUGACAAGGUCACCAAGCUGGCAAGGGUAUCAGUGACUUGAGAACCCCCCCGCUUCCCCAGCCCCGAUCCCGCUUUCCUUUGGGUUUCACCCCAGGGGCCCGGACCUCACUUUUGCAGUUUCCUCAUCCUCAAGGUGGAUUGCACCUUCGGGCAUCUCAAAUGGUUCUCGUGAAGAUUAAAUGAAUCAAUCAGGCUGGGUGCAGUGGCUCAUGCCUGUAAUCCCAGCACUUCGGGAGGCCGAGGCAGGUGGAUCGCUUGAGCUCAGGUAUUUAAGACCAGCCUGGUGAACAUGCUGCCAGCAGCCUCAAAGCCACCUGGGACUGCACAGUAUGUCUGUGUGCGCCUUGCUUUGCAUCACCCCCUGGACCUCCAGUGACCGAGAUCUCCCGCCAGACACCCGGGGCUGAGUCCUCGGAGAAGCCGCCUGCCGGGUGCAUCACCAGGACUCCAUUGGUGGUCAGUCCAUCCAUCAGGCCAUCUGGGGUCCGCCAUUUGGCCGCCCGCUCCUGGGACCACAUAAGGGAUCAGAUCAUAUCCCCCAGUGGCCCACCAGCAGGCCAUGUGCCAGAGGCACUGCCCCUCUACUCUCAAGUUUAGAGAUGGACCAGAGAGGCCUGGCAUUGAAGCUGCAUGACUUGAGCAUCUCUCUGGGCUUCACUUUGCUCAUCGGUUAGCUGGGGUUGCUAAGCCCUGCCAGGACCAUCAUUUGAAUUACUGUGGGUUGGUUCACCCCAAGAUGUUGCACCUCCC